GGGGACAUAGCUCAGUUGGGAGAGCAACAGACUGAAGUGGCGCCAAUCCUUGUUCCUUUCUGGAGGUCCCCAGUUCAAUCCUGGGUGUCCCCA